rnacentral:rRNA from 1 species
UACGGAGGGUGCAAGCGUUGUUCGGAAUUACUGGGCGUAAAGCGCGCGUAGGCGGCUUUUUAAGUCAGAUGUGAAAGUCCAUGGCUCAACCAUGGGAGUGCAUUUGAUACUGAAAGGCUUGAGUACUGGAGGGGAUGGUGGAAUUCCCGGUGUAGAGGUGAAAUUCGUAGAUAUCGGGAGGAAUACCGGUGGCGAAGGCGACCAUCUGGCCAGAUACUGACGCUGAGGUGCGAAAGCGUGGGGAGCAAAC